rnacentral:tRNA from 1 species
GAGAGUAUAGCUCAGUGGUAGAAUGCCUGCUUAGCAUACAGAAGGUCCUGGGUUCAAUCCCCAGUACUUUCU